rnacentral:rRNA from 1 species
UACGUAGGGUGCAAGCGUUGUCCGGAAUUAUUGGGCGUAAAGAGCUCGUAGGCGGUCUGUCGCGUCUGCUGUGAAAACUCGGGGCUUAACCCCGGGCCUGCAGUGGGUACGGGCAGACUAGAGUGCGGUAGGGGAGACUGGAAUUCUGGUGUAGCGGUGAAAUGCGCAGAUAUCAGGAGGAACACCGGUGGCGAAGGCGGGUCUCUGGGCCGUAACUGACGCUGAGGAGCGAAAGCGUGGGGAGCGAACAGG